rnacentral:rRNA from 1 species
UACGGAGGAUGCAAGCGUUAUCCGGAUUUAUUGGGUUUAAAGGGUGCUCAGGUUGUUUGAUAAGUCAGUGGUGAAAGUCUGUCGCUUAACGGUAGGAUUGCCAUUGAUACUGUUAGACUUGAAUAUGGAUGAGGUAGGCGGAAUGUGUAGUGUAGCGGUGAAAUGCUUAGAUAUUACACAGAACACCAAUUGCGUAGGCAGCUUACUGAGCCGACACUGACGCUGAGGCACGAAAGCGUGGGGAUCGAACAGGA